AGCGAACGCUGGCGGCAGGCCUAACACAUGCAAGUCGAACGAACUCUUCGGAGUUAGCGGCGGACGGGUGAGUAACACGUGGGAACGUGCCUUUUGGUUCGGAAUAACUCAGGGAAACUUGUGCUAAUACCGAAUGUGCCCUUCGGGGGAAAGAUUUAUCGCCAUUAGAGCGGCCCGCGUCUGAUUAGCUAGUUGGUGAGGUAACGGCUCACCAAGGCGACGAUCAGUAGCUGGUCUGAGAGGAUGACCAGCCACACUGGGACUGAGACACGGCCCAGACUCCUACGGGAGGCAGCAGUGGGGAAUCUUGCGCAAUGGGCGAAAGCCUGACGCAGCCAUGCCGCGUGAAUGAUGAAGGUCUUAGGAUGGUAAAAUUCUUUCACCGGGGACGAUAAUGACGGUACCCGGAGAAGAAGCCCCGGCGAACUUCGU
rnacentral:rRNA from 1 species